rnacentral:rRNA from 1 species
GGGGGUCAUUUAGAGGAAGUAAAAGUCGUAACAAGGUUUCCGUAGGUGAACCUGCGGAAGGAUCAUUAUGAAUUAUAAAUAUUUGUGAAUUUACCACAGCAAACAAAAAUCAUACAAUCAAAACAAAAAUAAUUAAAACUUUUAACAAUGGAUCUCUUGGUUCUCGUAUCGAUGAAGAACGCAGCGAAACGCGAUAUUUCUUGUGAAUUGCAGAAGUGAAUCAUCAGUUUUUGAACGCACAUUGCACUUUGGGGUAUCCCCCAAAGUAUACUUGUUUGAGCGCUGUUUCUCUCUUGGAAUUGCUUUGCUCUUCUAAAAUUUCGAAUCAAAUUCGUUUGAAAAACAACAUUAUUCAACCUCAGAUCAAGUAGGAUUACCCGCUGAACUUAAGCAUAUCAAUAAGCGGAGGAAAAGAAACCAACAGGGAUUGCCUUAGUAACGGCGAGUAAAGCGGCAAAAGCUCAAAUUUGAAAUCGGCCACCAGGUCGAGUUGUAAUUUGUAGAUUGUAUCUUGAGAGCGGAUUAAAGUCUGUUGGUACACAGCGCCUUUGAGCGUGACAGCCCCGUAAAAUCUAUUCUCUUUGUAAAAUACUUUCGAAGAGUCGAGUUGUUUGGGAAUGCAGCUCUAAGUGGAGGUAAAUUCCUUCUAAAGCUAAAUAUUGACGAGACGCGGAGAGAGGA